rnacentral:rRNA from 1 species
UACGGGGGGGGCAAGCGUUGUUCGGAAUUACUGGGCGUAAAGGGCGCGUAGGCGGCCUGCUAAGUCGGAUGUGAAAUCCCUCGGCUCAACCGAGGAACUGCAUCCGAUACUGGCGGGCUUGAAUCCGGGAGAGGGAUGUGGAAUUCCAGGUGUAGCGGUGAAAUGCGUAGAUAUCUGGAGGAACACCGGUGGCGAAGGCGGCAUCCUGGACCGGUAUUGACGCUGAGGCGCGAAGGCGUGGGGAGCAAACAGG